AGGUUGAUUUGACUUUUGUUAAGUUAAAAUCAUUGGAUUUAGGGGAUUGAUGAAAUGUACAUUUCAUCUCCCAAAAUGAAUGAAUGAUUUUAAUUUGAUAAAAUUCCUCCCAUGACCAAUUUGUGUUUUUCUCAUCUCCCCUCCCUUUUAAUCUUCAAUCCCAUUCUAUCUCAUCCCUUUCAUUGACCAAUGAAAUCCCAAAAUCCUAAGGCUAAUUGGUUCAUCAAUGACCUUAUGUUAGAUGAACCAAUACAAGUAUGGAUGAGAUAGGUCCAUCCCUUUUGUUCUUUUUCUUUUAGUGUGUUGUAUGUUUUAGGAGUUUAGUUCAUCUUACCAAAUCCCUAACAUGCGUUAGCACCUAAAUUUU
rnacentral:lncRNA from 1 species